UACGAAGGGGGCUAGCGUUGCUCGGAAUCACUGGGCGUAAAGGGUGCGUAGGCGGGUCUUUAAGUCAGGGGUGAAAUCCUGGAGCUCAACUCCAGAACUGCCUUUGAUACUGAAGAUCUUGAGUCGGGAGAGGUGAGUGGAACUGCGAGUGUAGAGGUGAAAUUGUAGAUAUUCGCAAGAACACCAGUGGCGAAGGCGGCUCACUGGCCCGGUACUGACGCUGAGGUGCGAAAGCGUGGGGAGCAAACAGG
rnacentral:rRNA from 1 species